AAGAGAUCCUUCAUUACUCACAUAAUGCAAUUUCAGAAGAAAGGUGGACAGCAAACUCCUGUUCCAUGGACUCUUUGUAUGAUAUAGACCUCAUAUCAGGCACUGUACCAGUAAUUUUGGACAAUUCAAAAAUGUGGUAUCGAGUGGUGGCAACAAGUAUGAAGUUGGGAGGUAGAGGAGCUGCCCAUGUGGAA